rnacentral:rRNA from 1 species
UACGAAGGGUGCAAGCGUUACUCGGAAUUAUUGGGCGUAAAGAGCGCGCAGGUGGUUGAUUAAGUCUGAUGUGAAAGCCCACGGCUUAACCGUGGAGGGUCAUUGGAAACUGGUCAACUUGAGUGCAGAAGAGGGAAGUGGAAUUCCAUGUGUAGCGGUGAAAUGCGUAGAGAUAUGGAGGAACACCAGUGGCGAAGGCGGCUUCCUGGUCUGUAACUGACACUGAGGCGCGAAAGCGUGGGGAGCAAACAGG